rnacentral:rRNA from 1 species
UUCGUAGGCGGUGUGGUGUGUCGGGAGUGAAAUCUCUGGGCUUAACUCAGAGGCUGCUUCCGAAACUGCCAUGCUCGAGUGCGGGAGAGGCCAGUGGAAUUGCAGGUGUAGCGGUGAAAUGCGUAGAUAUCUGCAGGAACACCCGUGGCGAAGGCGGCUGGCUGGACCGCAACUGACGCUGAGGAACGAAAGCUAGGGGAGCAAACAGGAUUAGAUACCCUGGUAGUCCUAGCCCUAAACGAUCAGGACUUGGGGUGCAUCCCGUUGGGGGUGCGUCCCGUAGCUAACGCGUUAAGUCCUGCGCCUGGGAGUACGGUCGCAAGGCUGAA